rnacentral:rRNA from 1 species
GACGAACGCUGGCGGCGUGCCUAAUACAUGCAAGUAGAACGCACAGUUUAUACCGUAGCUUGCUACACCAUAGACUGUGAGUUGCGAACGGGUGAGUAACGCGUAGGUAACCUGCCUGGUAGCGGGGGAUAACUAUUGGAAACGAUAGCUAAUACCGCAUAAUAUUGAUUAUUGCAUGAUAAUUGAUUGAAAGAUGCUAUUGCAUCACUACCAGAUGGACCUGCGUUGUAUUAGCUAGUAGGUGAGGUAACGGCUCACCUAGGCGACGAUACAUAGCCGACCUGAGAGGGUGGUCGGCCACACUGGGACUGAGACACGGCCCAGACUCCUACGGGAGGCAGCAGUAGGGAAUCUUCGGCAAUGGACGAAAGUCUGACCGAGCAACGCCGCGUGAGUGAAGAAGGGUGUCGGAUCGUAAAGCUCUGUUGUAAGAGAAGAACGGGUGUGAGAGUGGAAAGUUCACACUGUGACGGUAUCUGACCAGAAAGGGACGGCUAACUACGUG